AAUAUUGGACCAUGGGGGGAACCCUGAUCCUGACAUGCCGCGUGUGUGAAGGAGGUGGUCGGAUUGGAAAGCACUUUCAGUUGGGAGGCAGUGCAGUAAUCUUAGACCUCGCUGUUCUGACGGUACCGGUAGAAUAGGCAGCGGCUAACUUCGUGCAAGCGGCCGCGGUAAUACGAAGGGUGCAAGCGUUAAUCGGAAUUACUGGGCGUAAAGCGCGCGUAGGUGGUGUGUUAAGUUGGAUGAGAAAGCCCCGGGCUCAACCUGGGAAUUGCAUCCAAAACUGUCUGACUAGAGUAUGGAAGAGGGUGGUGGAAUUUCCUGUGUAGCGGUGAAAUGCGUAGAUAUAGGAAGGAACACCAGUGGCGAAGGCGACCACCUGGGCUAAUACUGACACUGAGGUGCGAAAGCGUGGGGAGCAAACAGG
rnacentral:rRNA from 1 species